UGGGCAGCGACUCUUCCUCUCGUCUCGCCUCCCAGCUAGGUUUAGCGUCGCCGCCACAGCCCACAUACCUGCUGCUCCGUCGUUGCCCACCGGAGGAAGGGCCCCUGUUGAGACCCGCUCCUUCCCCGAGUUAGGCCGUCUGCGCGCCGUCGUCGUCCUCGUACCUUCGUACGCGGCGCUGGAGAGACGGAUGAGGAGCUCGAGCAGUUCGUGCAUUCAUCCCUCUUCCCUCGACCAUCGACGUCUACUGCGGCAAGAUCCGUCACCUCGUCGACCCACCCCGACCACCUCCUGGGGCGCAUCUCCUUCCACCGCCUCCACAUCAAGAACGACUGCCGCCUCGAGGGGAUCACCAAGAUGGCCGAUCUGGUGCGCCCCUUCCCACCUCCCCUCCCUUCGCCGCUCGCACUCGUCCUCUAAUGGGUCUCCAUCGCGCCAUCUCUUCCUUGUUGAUCUCGGUUGCUGCCUCCGCCUCGUCUCUUCUCCACGGGAACAAUAGAUGGCAACAAGGAAAGUGGCUCGGCCCAACCAUGGCCAUGUCGCCGCCACCAGUUGUUUUAUCCGCCCUUCCCUCUGAGCUCCUUCUGAUUCCUUCAUAAUUUCGUAGCUAGGGUUUGUGUGUCCAGUCCACAAGAUUUCUUACACCAACGAUUGUUUCCAUAAAUCUAUGGUUGCUAUGGAGUGGUUUUGGGUACCCAUAAGAUUCUUACACCAGAAACUAAAGUGACCAGGAUUUGUCUUCAUAGAAUCCAGGGCUGCUAUUGAGUGUUAUUUUUGCUGCUGAAUGUACAAUUUAUUAUAAAUAUUAUAUGAUGAAGUACCAAAGUUCAAAGUGGCAUAUGAUACAGAUAUUCAGAUUCCCUUUGCAGGUUAAACUCUAUACCAGCAAAAAAAUGUUUUAGAGUAUACCUCCAAGAUUCUCCAUUUAAGAUAUUAUAACUUCAGUGAUGAUGCCUUAUUUCAGGAUAAUUGGUGUUGUUUUUGCUGCAGCUCAGGCCGGAUUUUGGAUUGCAAGGCUAAGCAGGUCAUCUAAAUUGAAGCUGAAAAGAAUAAAUAUGUAAACCACAUUGAGGAGUUAGUCCAAUGAAUGGGAUGGGAGCCCUUCAAAGUCACAUAUACAAGCGAUUUAUGUUCAAGCUUUAUACGAGCAGGCAAUUGAGUUAAUCGGAAAGGGGAUAGCCUAUGUGGAUCACCAGAUUUGAUUGUGUCUUGAAGUAACAAGGAAGAAGGGUCAGUUUAUGUUAUGCACUCAGCACAAAAAAUGAUGCCAUUGAGAAUAAUUGAUCUGCUAUGAGUAAAAGAGAGCAUUUGUACUGUUGAGUUUGAUUUAGUAAUUCUGUGGGGUACAGCCUGUUGGAGCUAUGCAAGUGCUGAUCAUCA